rnacentral:misc_RNA from 1 species
UUAAGUUCAGCGGGUAUUCCUACCUGAUCCGAGGUCAACCUUGAGAAGUGGGGUGUUUAACGGCGUGGCCGCGCCGCGUCCCAGAGCGAGGUGUGCUACUACGCAGAGGGGGCUGCAGCGAGACCGCCACUAGAUUUCGGGGGCGCCGGGGGGUUCCCGGCCGAUCCCCAACGCCGAGCCACGGGGGGCUCGAGGGUUGA